UCUACGGUAACCUGUCCUUAGUUUAGACCAGAGCCAACUCAAAUCUAAGACAAAUCAAAGUUGGAAUAUCCAAGACAAAUCGAUUCCACCUAGCGUUAACGGUGGAUUAUUAAUCAUUUUGUUAACAACUUGAAGGUAUCACACAUUGCUAAUUAGCAACUCAUAAGUGCUCUCUUAUGGUUCCAAUUUGUGUGGUGUCCUCGGACAUGGUCUUGUAAUAACACAAUGUGUAACAUUUAUGAGGAUUAACUUCUCUUAUCCACCCAGUGUGAUCCAGGUGUCAGCUUCUCAGAAUCAUGCUGCAUUUAUUUUAUAGUCUGGAGAGGUUUUCACAUGUGGAGACAAUUCAUUUUUUUGUUGUGAACACAAAGCAUGCUGCUGUGGUGCUGCCUUUUUGCAUAACUACAAAAUGUUUUUUCAUAGUAAGUGAACUUUAUAGUUGUAGCCAUGAUUCUUUUUUGUGUCUGAUUAUGUAACCAUCCAUGUAAUUUCGUACAAAAACUUGAUGAUGAUAAAGUCUUUGAGCAUGGUCCACUUCCUAUGUUUGUCCUAUAGUUCUCUAGUCUCUAUAACUGUUCUUAAUUUGUCUAAUGAAGCCCCAAAACACAAUUUAAGGAAAUGUCUAAACUGUUUAGUUUUGUUGGUUUCAAGUUGUACAAAACUUGCUAUCAUUUGAAAAGAGGCGAUGGUUUUUAAGAUAAGGACAGUGUAUAUUUCGCUUGGCUUGAUUGAGUAAAGGAGAAUGGCCUUCUAUCUUAUUUUCAUCUAUGAUUUUUUCAUGUAUGAUACUGAAACUAAUAUUUUCUCUUCAUUGAUAAAGAAACCUUGGAACUAGUCCCCUCCUUUUGAUGUAUUAAAGUUCAACGUUGAUGGUUCAGUGAGUGGGGUAAUGUGCUGCUGGAGUUCUUGAUGAGAAGAACCAAAAGCUUAGUUUAUUGCAAAUUUGAAGGCUAUUAUGACAAUGUUUUUGGAUUCUCAAUGUAUCUAUUCCUAUGCCUUAAUAAUCAAAACUGAUUAUAGUAAUUAUGAAUUCUCUUAAGAAUCUUGAGUUCAAAUUCGAACUCGAGCACAAAUAAUCGAGCGUUUAUCGAGUAUAAGAAUUGAGGUUAUUUUUAUAUAUUAAUUGAGCCAAUUAAGCAAGCUCGAGCAGCUUGAUUUCGAUCACAAAUCGAGCUCAAACUAAGAAAAUUAAACUCGAUCGAAUUCGAGUCGA